GCUCUCCUUGUGCUCUGUGUUCCAGCAUUGUGUCAAUAAUAAGUGUUGCUGUGAAGAGAACAAUAGUCAGACUGAAUGUUGAACAUCAGCUAGUUUCUCCUGCUGAUUUAAACCUUGUUGGACAGAUGGAACAUUGGCUGUGGAUUAUUCUAGCUGCUCUUUUCUUUGAGUGUAAAGGAGACUCGGUGACGCAGACAGAAGGACAUGUUGCUGCUGCUCAAGGAGAAUCUGUGACUCUGGGAUGUAUUUAUCAGACCAGUACUACAACACCUACCCUGUUCUGGUAUAAACAAGAAGAAAACAGUUUCCCAAAGUACAUGCUGAAUCAAUACUAUCAAACAAAAGAUAAAGCUCCUGAUUUCAACUACAACCGAUUUGAUGCUGACAUCAACAAUGAGGGGAAAUCCUUUAAUUUGACGAUCCAGGAUCUCCGUCUGUCAGACUCUGCUGUGUACUACUGUGCUCUGAGGCCCACAGUGACAGGAAACACCAGAACUCUGUACAAGAACCUGCAGAGAAAUAAUGACAAUACUCCACAUCAUCGACCAGAGGGGCUUCGUACAUGA